GUCGGAACUGUGCGAAUGAGGACA
rnacentral:siRNA from 1 species